rnacentral:rRNA from 1 species
AUUGAACGCUGGCGGCAGGCCUAACACAUGCAAGUCGAACGAGUGGCGGACGGGUGAGUAAUGUCUGGGAAACUGCCCGAUGGAGGGGGAUAACUACUGGAAACGGUAGCUAAUACCGCAUACCAUCGGAUGUGCCCAGAUGGGAUUAGCUAGUAGGUGGGGUAAUGGCUCACCUAGGCGACGAUCCCUAGCUGGUCUGAGAGGAGGACCAGCCAAACUGGAACUGAGAAACGGACCAUACUCCUACGGGAGGAAGCAGUGGGGAAUAUUACACAAGGGGCGCAAGCCUGAUGCAGCCAUGCCGGGUGUAUGAAGAAAGCCUUCGGGUUGUAAAGUACUUUCAGCGAGGAGGCGUUACUCGCAGAAGAAGCACCGGCUAACUCCGUGCCAGCAGCCGCGGUAAUAC